GUGUGAAGCGGCUGGGAUGCGAAUUGGCACCUCCAAGUCCGAGACCAUGGUCCUCAGUCGGAAAAAGGUAGAUUGCUGUCUCCGGGUCGGAGGGGAGGUCCUGCCUCAAGUGGAGGGGUUCAAGUAUCUCGGGAUCUUGUUCACUAGUGAGGGUAGGAUGGAGCGGGGGAUCGACAGGCGGAUCGGAGCGGCGUCAGCAGUGAUGCGGACGCUUAACCGAUCUGUCGUGGUGAAGAAAGAGCUGAGCCGUAAGGCGAGACUCUUGAUUUACCGGUCGAUCUACGCGCCGAUUCUCACCUGUGGUCAUGAACUUUGGGUAAUGAGCAAGAGAACAAGAUCACGGAUACAAGCGGUCGAAAUGGGUUUCCUUUGCAGAGCGGCUUGGCUCAGCCUUAGAGACAGGGACACUCGGGAGGCGCUCAGAGUAGAACCGCUGCUCCUUCACGUCGAGAGGAGUCAGCUGAGGUGGCUCAGGCAUCUGGUUAGGAUGCCUUCUAGAUGCCUCCCUAUAGAGGUGGCCCACCGGGAGGAGACCUCGUGGCCGGCCCAGGACCAGGUGGAGAGAUUAUAUCUCUCGCCUGGCCUGGGAGUGCCAGGGAAUCCCUGUGGAGGAACUGGUGGAAGAGGCUGGGGUGAGGGCCGUCUGGGCUUCCCUCCUGAAGCUGCUGCCCCGCAACCCAGACCCGGAUAAGCGGAAGAAAACGAUGACGACGACUGAAUAUAUGGCUUUACAUGAAUGGAUAGUGAGGAUGGUAGUAAUGCAACAUGAUAGAUACCAACUGGUAUAUGAAAACUCAAAGAAAAUGAAGCAGCAGCAAACAUGCAGAAAGUAGUAGCUGGAAUCACUGCCAUUUUAACAAUCUGCGCUUGGUCUUGAUAUCAGAUUUUUUACUUCACAAUUAUCAUGACCUUAAAAUAUUGAUUUGAUAUUGUUGAGAUAUUUGUGGAAAACCUAAAUUUGUUAAAAAGGCUGGUAAUCAUUAACACCCGUACACCCUAUGUCAGAUAAACCAACCCAAUCACAACGAUGACAUUCCCUCAGCUUAUUUGCAAACAGCCAAGCUGGCAGCUUCUGCUCCUGGAGGGUCUGUUUGAAUCUGCCUUUUUAAAUGAACUGGAUGAUUGAUUUUCAUAAAAACACGAACAGGGCAGUUUUGUAUUCACAUCGUUCACCAUUCACCACAGGGGAUUUUCCUUCCAACACUAAGCUGGUCAGUUGUCUGAUGUGUCACUUCCCCCCUUUGCAGAGGUUUCCAGCAUUGAAAAUUACAAUGUAGAAAUAAUCAGUCUUGCUGCUAAUAGUCCCACUCUGAAUGAGGGAUCACUGCUAAUUUCUAUUUGUCUCGUAACCGCUUAAAACCUCCUCAUGGGACCUUUGAAUCAGGAAGUAUUUUUAAACUUUUGGGUGAUGAAUAUAAGAAUGCCUGACCUUCACUCACACUCUUGUCGAUUUACUGUGUGUUAGCUGUACUUUGGCUUAAGUAUGGCUGUCAGAUACUCCGUUCUUCUCACAGACAGUCCCCUGCUUAUCAUUUCAUGAGUGUAAAGCAACUAAAAGCAAAAAACUUGCAUUUAUUCUGUGACUUGCUAGACAAUCAGACAAACAGGUUGCAGUUUUGAUAAUAAGAAUGAAUGUAAUGACAACAUUUAAACCAAAAAGUCCAAAUAUGUUCAAAAGACACAGUCCAAUAUAAAAUCUAGAGAGUAUCCAGAAGUCCCUGUUAGUGGGUAUCAAAGCAUCCAGAGACCUGCAGCCCCCCUGACACCAGAGUUGGGCUGUCAUCUCUGUCGUCUCUCAGGAGUAAACUGUGAUACCUUAUCAGAGCUCUCUGGGUCCUGCAGACACUGCUGUCACGUUUGAUGGAUCUUUUCUCUCCGCUGUGUCUUCAAGCUACAUAAUAUCGCAGAUAACUGGACUGUCACUCACUUUUUUUUUUUCAGCCUUAUUAGAUCACUUCUCUUAGUCCUAAAAACAUUUGAGUGCAGCUAACAGGCCUGUGUGGACGGCUGUCAUCCCCUUAUCUGAAAUCUUAUCCCCUAGUUGAUGGAAAGUAUGAAAAAAAAAGAUAUAUUUUACGAUAUAAUUGACCCAUAGACUGUAUAUAGAAUGGACGCCUUCUGCCUCCUCACUGGGUUAAGCCGCCCUGAGAACAGCACCCUCUGGUGACGGGCUGCGGUAUAGGUCAUAAAUCCCGCCUCCUCCAGCAAUCCCUAUGGAGCUGUGGACAAACUUUAGAAAUUUAUUACACAGAAUGUAAAUUUUUUUCUCCCCUGCAUGCGAUGUUGACAUGUAGCUACUGUAAGACUGGUUUGUGCUCAAGUCAUUUUUUUUUAUGUGCAGCUCCGUUUUCAAAAGUUAUUAGGGGGUUCAUGUUUUCUAUGAUUGAUACCUGAUACAGCCUAUGGGCGUAUGAAGAUUGCAUAGCUCAUCCGGGGAAUAUGCUGUUUGAGGAGAGCGUCGUCACAGCGACUCUCCUGACGAAUGCGUACAAUGCUACUGUGCUGUGGUGGAGUGCGUACAACGCUACUGUACAAUGUUGGUUUCAGGAAAUAUCGCAAGCUUUUCGGCUUCAAAUCCAUUUACUGGCAGAAGGCGGAACCAAGUAGUCCACAGUAUAUACAGUCUAUGAAUUGACCAUAAGAUUUUAAGGGAGUUCCUGCUGUUUUCCAGCAGCAAGUUAUAUCUAGUAGCUAGUUUGUUUUGGACCAAUAUGUAUAAGUAAAAAAAAACAUCCAAUAACAUUAAAAAGUGAAUAGAGGGAGUAAUACACUUGCUGCAGAUUAUUGAUUGGUUUAAAAAGGGGAAACAACAGUGAUGUAAAUGUUUGCCAUAUCACAGGACCAACUAUUUGGUUUCACCAUUAUUUGUCAGAGCAUUUAGAAAACAGAUUUUCAUUGAUGGUUUGUUUGCCAUUUAAGUCCUCAUCUCUGUUUUAAAAAAAUCAGUUUGUCAGUAAACCCCACAGAGGUAAAGUCACUAUUGGAGCUGUAUCUGGCAGCAACAACAAGCAUGUAGAUCCCCAACAUUCCUGUUGAUUUGAUCAUUUUUAAAGGUCUUAUGAUCAGAUGUUCUUUUAUACAGACACGUAUUUUUUAAUUACCUUGAUGAUAUGUUUCGGCGUGCUGGCAGCAGUCUUCCUUAGAGUGUGACGCAUCUUAAAAUGGCUGAUGUUUCCAAAGAACAUCUAAUUGUAAUUUAUCAAAAAAGACACAAUGAACCUAAUCCAAGAAUUUUUAAAGGUCUGUUUCUGUUUCUCGAUCAGGUUGAUUAAAUCCAGUUUUUCUACAAAAUAUCAGGACAAAGUGUGAUGGAGUACCCGAUACUAGAGAGCUGUGUAUUUAUAAAUCAAUUUUAUUAUGAUCUAAACUGAAAUUGAGCUUUGUGGGCCCAGAGCAAUGCCAAAACUUUCUGUAACUAUGAGUCAUUUAGACUCCUUAAUAAAUGUUGAAUUGCGGCUGAGGUUUCUGCUGACUUAUAUUCGUGUGACGUUGAUCAGGUGUUAUUUAGAGUUUUUCUUGAAGGACAUUUAAUGAAUGAGCUUGCAGAUAUAAAUUUACUGAUAAAAAGUAAAAUACAAACACUGAGACUAAUUUUCAAGGACUUUGUGUACAUGUUUUUGUCUCCAUCAGGACACACACGUCUCCACGGAUUGAUUUACAAACCUCAUCAUCUCAGAGGAUGGAGGCAGCUUCAUCUAAAUUCUCCUGUCCCCUCUGAGACCUUCCUCUGAUAGGAUCCAUUAUCUCCUGUUGUUUCAGAAUGGCACUUCCUGUCGGGAUAAGCAGCCUAAUUGUAAAUUUGCAUAAAGCAAGAAUAAAUGGAGGACCCCAGCAGAAAACCUCUCGGUG
rnacentral:lncRNA from 1 species